rnacentral:lncRNA from 1 species
CUGGAUAUGUGACAACAGAGAGCUAUGGAGCACCUUGUUCUCCACUACACACCUGAAUCACCAGUUCAAGAUGAGUGCCUCAAUCCGUAACAAAAUGAUUGAACGAACAAUAUUUACUCCUUGAAUAGGAGUCUGCUUACCCUCGACCUUAACCUAAGCCAUUAUAAUCCCAAACCUGCAGAAGAUCCUGAGAAAAUGACUGAAGCUGCAUGUUUCAGGAAAAGUAAGUUGAAUGACAGCACUGUUGUGCUAAUUGCAUGUGUUCGACUACAAAUAUAACUUUUACAACUAAAUUAAAGCUGACAGGACUCUGAUGAGAGGGAGCCACAAAUUCGUUUCAAUUUUAGGAAAAAGAAAUAGAAAGAAAAAAAAAUCCUAGGAGAAAAUUGAAAAAUUGAUAAGAUGACGACUCAAAUCCUACGUCGUGCCAUUUGAAAAAGAAAAUGUCAGUACAAUUAAAUACAUCAUAACCUUGACAGCCUUCUCUACGGUUAAGACACCGAGAAUGAUCAAAAUUUAAAUCCUUGAACCCUGCGAAUCCCAUUUUAGAUAUUAUAAUCUCUAGAGAGAAACGGAGAGAAGCAACAUGUUAGGAAGCUUAGGGCUCGUUUGGUAUUGUUUCUGAAUUUAUAUUUUUUGAGAAUAAAAAUAAAAAUGAAAAUUGUGUUUUGCAGUUGCUGUAUUUCGAAUUUAAAUAUGCGUUUGGUAUCAUUUUCUGUAUCCUAUAUUUUAAAAUUAAAAACAGUAAUAUGCGUUUGGUAGACACAGUUAAAAAUGAUAAAACAGAAAAUAUGUGUUUGGUAAUGCUUUUUUCAAAAAUAAUUUUUACUAAGCAUUUACAUUAUAUUUAUAGUCAUAAAAUAAUUAUUUAGCUAAUACAUACACAAAUACAACAAAAUAAUUUAAACAAAUUUAUUAUUAAAAAAUUACAUGAUGAUAAAGUUUUAGAAUUAACAUUAAUUAAAAAAAAGUUUGACAUUGUCAUUGUUUUUACACCAUAAAUAAGAUAUAUAUUACAACACAUGAUUUAAACAAAAUAAUUAUAAAAAAAUUACAUGAUAGACAUUAUGCAUUACGUAUGUAAUCAUGCCACAUAGAAGCUGCAAUUUCAUCUCUUGUAGCAUUCAUCUCUGCGACACUUGCUGGAGAUAAAUCAAUAUUAGUAAGUGGCCUACUAGUGUCUCAUUCGUUGAUAACCAAAUCUUGCACAUCAAAGUCCCCAAAUAACGUAUCACUUGCAUUUUCUUGUCGAAUAAAAUUAUGUAAAGUGCAACAUGCAAUUGGAAUGAGACGUUGCUUAUGUAAACUAUAAUUAUGCAUACGUUGAUAAUUUGAUUAAUGGAUUAUAAUACAACAGAUUUGUUAUAAUCAAAUCUAUGCAUUUUCUCAUUUAACAUUAACACAAAAACUCUUUAUCUCAAAGGUACUUUAACUAAAUUUGUAAUGCGAUAAACAUACCAUAAAGAUCAGCAUGUGUAUUCCAGCUAUAAUAAACUGAAAGCAUGCAUGGUAUGAACUAGAGUUAGUGCAAUUUAACAUGAAGCUUGCUCGUGCAAAAUUAUUUUAUAUAGCAUUUGCAGUUUCAAUUUCCAAUUCCAAGGUUCUGAUUCCAUGCUCCCAAACACAGCAAUAAAUGUAAAUCCAAUUACACAUCUUCUUGGAACAACUUUUUGUGAAAUAAGUGUCAAUUUUUUUUUUUUGAAUAUUCAUUCUGAAAACACAUUAGACACGGAAUUAGAAAGCAGUUUAACUGCUUUCCAGAAACAAUAUUUGCUCUGCCAAAAGAAAAAAAAAAAAACUACUUCACAUUGACUCACCAAUCCACUCCUCCACUUUUAAUUAUAAAUUCCACAAUAAUCAAUAAUCAUCAGCACUAGCAGGAAAAUUACAUUACACGUUCAAAUUAUCAACGUAUUAACACUAACAAAUCUAUUGUAUUUUAAUCCAUUAAUCAAACUCAAAACCCAAUCAGCAACUCACAUAACAAAGAUUCCCAAGCAAAUUAAAACCCAAUGAAUGCCAAAUUCGAUUGUACGCAAGCCUUAGAAAAUAAUUAUUGUACGCAAUCAAAUUAAAACCCAAUCAGCAACUCACAUAACAAAGAUGGAGCUGAGAGAGCAAAAACAGUCAAGCUAGUUGGAUGGAGCAGCAGUGGUUGCAGCGAGAUGGCGGCUGGGCAAGUGACAGAUCCGGGAGAGCAAAGACGGAGCAGCAACGGCUGGGCUGAGACGAGAGAGAAAGAUGUUGCAACUGAGAAAGUGCAGAUUUGAGAGUGCAGAUUUGCUGGGCAGUGGAUGAAGAUAAGGGGAGGGAGGGAGUGCAGAUUUGCUGCAACUGGAUCAAGAAAGGUGAGGGGAAAGAGAGAACGGCAGUGAAGAGAAAAGGAGGAGGAGGGUCACGAUUUUCUUUUGUUUUUUAAUUCAUUUUUAGGUUUAAUUUGUAAUAUUUGCAGAACAUGUUUAAGUUGUUUUCAAUUGAUUAGUAAUAAUAAUGAAUCCGGAUUUUUUGUUUUGUAAUUUAUUUUUUUUAAAUUAACUCACC